UCUUAGCUUGCUAAGGCCGAUGGCGACCGGCGCACGGGUGAGUAACACGUAUCCCACCUGCCGUCUACUCUUGGACAGCCUUCUGAAAGGAAGAUUAAUACAAGAUGGCAUCAUGAGUUCACAUGUUCACAUGAUUAAAGGUAUUCCGGUAGACGAUGGGGAUGCGUUCCAUUAGAUAGUAGGCGGGGUAACGGCCCACCUAGUCUUCGAUGGAUAGGGGUUCUGAGAGGAAGGUCCCCCACAUUGGAACUGAGACACGGUCCAAACUCCUACGGGAGGCAGCAGUGAGGAAUAUUGGUCAAUGGGCGAGAGCCUGAACCAGCCAAGUAGCGUGAAGGAUGACUGCCCUAUGGGUUGUAAACUUCUUUUAUAAAGGAAUAAAGUCGGGUAUGGAUACCCGUUUGCAUGUACUUUAUGAAUAAGGAUCGGCUAACUCCGUGCCAGCAGCCGCGGUAAUACGGAGGAUCCGAGCGUUAUCCGGAUUUAUUGGGUUUAAAGGGAGCGUAGAUGGAUGUUUAAGUCAGUUGUGAAAGUUUGCGGCUCAACCGUAAAAUUGCAGUUGAUACUGGCAGUCUUGAGUGCAGUAGAGGUGGGCGGAAUUCGUGGUGUAGCGGUGAAAUGCUUAGAUAUCACGAAGAACUCCGAUUG
rnacentral:rRNA from 1 species